rnacentral:rRNA from 1 species
UGCCAGCAGCCGCGGUAAUACGGAGGGUGCAAGCGUUGUUCGGAAUUAUUGGGCGUAAAGGGGAGGCAGGUGGUCCUAUUUGUCUGAGGUGAAAUCCCUGAGCUUAACUCAGGACGUGCCUUGGAAACGGUAGGACUAGAGUUCUGGAGAGGAUAGCGGAAUUCCCGGUGUAGCGGUGAAAUGCGUAGAGAUCGGGAGGAACAUCAGAGGCGAAGGCGGCUAUCUGGACAGAUACUGACACUCAACUCCGAAAGCGUGGGUAGCAAACAGGAUUAGAUA